UCGAACGGACCGAACCUGUGCGGCGGGCUGAUGAUUCGUCUGAGGCCCAAAGCGUUGGUUUGGUCAGUGGCGAACGGGUGAGUAACACGUAGGUGACCUGCCCCGAAGAGGGGAAUAACUGUUCGAAAGGACGGCUAAUCCCCCAUGUGCUCGGCGAUUCGGUUCGUCGAGUAAAGCUCUUUGCGCUUCGGGAGGGGCCUGCGGCCUGAUUAGCUAGUUGGUGAGGUAAUGGCUCACCAAGGCGAUGAUCGGUAGCUGGUCUGAGAGGACGAUCAGCCACAAUGGCACAUGAGAUACGGGCCAUACUCCUACGGGAGGCAGCAGUGAGGAAUAUUGCGCAAUGGGCGAAAGCCUGACGCAGCAACGCCGCGUGGGUGAUGAAGGCCUUCGGGUUGUAAAGCCCUUUUAGGGGGACGAGAAAGGACUGUACCCCUGGAAUAAGUCUCGGCUAACUACGUGCCAGCAGCCGCGGUAAAACGUAUGAGGCGAGCGUUAUCUCGGAUUUCUGGGCGUAAAGCUCAUGCAGGCGGCUUUCGUACUCAGAGUUGAAUCUUCCCGGCUCACUUGGAGGGGUCAU
rnacentral:rRNA from 1 species